rnacentral:rRNA from 1 species
UACGUAGGGGGCAAGCGUUGUCCGGAUUCAUUGGGCGUAAAGAGCGUGUAGGCGGCCAGGUAGGUCGGUUGUGAAAACUGGAGGCUCAACCUUCAGAGGUCGACCGAAACCAUCUGGCUAGAGUCCGGGAGAGGAGAGUGGAAUUCCUGGUGUAGCGGUGGAAUGCGCAGAUAUCAGGAGGAACACCAAUAGCGAAGGCAGCUCGCUGGGACGGUAUUGACGCUGAGGCGCGAAAGCGUGGGGAGCAAACAGG